AUAAACUUCAUUUUAUAAAGCGCCUUUAAAGCAGCUUCUCAAAGCGCUGUACAUAAAAUCACAGUCCACAGAAAAAUAAAACAAAUAAAGGUUAAUAAGAAUAAAAAUAACAACAUUAAUACUAAUAAAAAUAAUUAUUAAACAAUUGAAAAAGACAUCAGCAGUCGAAUGCAAGUUUAAAAAAGUGUGUCUUGAGAAGAGCUUUAAAAAUGCCAAAAGUCUGGGCUUCCCUGAGUUCAGGAGGAAGAGAGUUCCAAAGUGAAGGAGCAUAGAGAGAACCAUCUCGUUCCAGAUGUUAAAACAGCACCUAAAGGGAAUCCUGAUGCAGGAGAUGUAGAAAAUCAUGAUUACAACGAGGAGCGGAUGUGUUGUUAUCUCUAGCAUCCCUGCUGGUGCCUCUGCAAAUUACACCUGCAACAUGAGGGGUCGUCAUGUGAACAUCAUCAUUCCCAAUGUUAUCCAGGCUCUCACGCUCUGUGAAGUGGAAGUCUAUGGGGUUCCAGGCUACACUUUUAUAUCCAGUUCACAAUUUCAUAUACAUUUGAAGUCAAAUUAAGUUUUACAACAGCUACUAAAUAUCAACAUUGCUAAUUUUUUUUAGUGCCUGUUACUAAGAGGGCAUUUCUGAGAUUGAAGUUUAACAUCAGUGAGUAUCUUAUGAACCCUACUGUGAGGGACAAAAUUAUUCAAAAGGUUUGUGUUCAUGACAUGUAUGGUAGAUUCAUAAAUAAAUAAAUAAAUAAUACUAAUUUUUCAUCAUAGACGAUAUCUACCAAUGCCCAGCCUUCAGUGCGUCAGAUCUGUUGGACUACAGAACCAGAGGUGGAAAAUGAAACUUAAAAAACGGUGGCAGAAAUAUAUCUGAAACAACAAGAAGAAGAAGCGGAAGAAGAAGAAGAAGAAGUGUUCAAAGAACAAAAAGAAAGAAAAAACAUCAAAUGUGUGAGGUUUGGGUUUAGCACUUGAAAAUGCUAGCUAACUGAUGUUAUAGGUUUAUUAAUUAGAAGUACUAGAAGUUUUUUAGUUUGUUUGUUUGGGAAAUGUAUCCAUGAAAAAUUAUUACCACAGGGUUUGUACAAGGUGCUUGAAUUUGGCAUUUGGAAAUUUAAGUACUGGAAAACCUUGAAAAUAGCCAAUAUUUUUUUUAAUGUUAAAAAAGUG